UACGUAGGCAGCGAGCGUUGUUCGGAGUUACUGGGCGUAAAGAGUGCGUAGGCGGUUUUCUAAGUUUGGUGUGAAAUCUCCCGGCUUAACUGGGAGGGUGCGCCGAAAACUGGAAGGCUUGAGUAUGGGAGAGGUAAGCGGAAUUUCUGGUGUAGCAGUGAAAUGCGUAGAUAUCAGAAGGAACAUCAGUGGCGAAGGCGGCUUCCUGGACCAAUACUGACGAUCAGGUGCGAAAGCGUGGGGAGCAAACAGG
rnacentral:rRNA from 1 species